CCUCGGGCUCCUCUGCAGAGCUGGCACCUCUCAGACGCCGUCUGCCUCCUCCAUGAUGGGUGCUGAGAAGGGGAAGACCUCCUGCAGCAGGGUUUAACUUCACCUCCACGGUGCCCCGGAGCCUCCUGGCUACCUACCGUAUGAGGGGAAGAUGUAGCUGAAGACAGCCCUGAGCUCGUGGUCAGUGGUGAGACCGUCCACCACCUCCUUCAGGCUGCGCGAUGUCAGCUGGAAGAAGGGGCUGAGCCGCGGCAGCAGCCCCGAGCGGCACAGCAGCGUUGCCAGCGCCCGGGGGAUCAUUUUCAGGAAGCCCAACAGCACGGUCCUGCCGCUGACGCUCUGCGGGAGGGGAGGCUGUCGCUGAGCAUCCGCUGCCAGGGGUCUGCAGCCAACCCUGGUGUGGGCUCGAGAGAUGCUCAAAAGCAUCUUUUUCCCCUUAAAUUUACUACUUGGCUGGCAGAGAGGCGACAGCAUCUCUUAAGCACCACAUCCCAGGGAGCUGUGGCCAAGGGGAGCAUCCGCCCCCCCAAAAAAAACCUCCCCUGCAGCGGAGGCCUCCCACCUUUGCAGUGGUUUCAAGGCAUGUGUUAAUUAAUGCUAAUUUAGCACUGUUUUGAUGAUUGCAAUGACUCCGCCAGCUGGCGGGACCCAGACCAUCAUCCCACAGCACUUGGCAGAGGGGCUGUCUGGGCUCACAGGGGUCCCAGCGCAUCCCACGGGACCACAAGCAUCCGUGGGGAGUGGGCUUAAAACUCUGGGUGCGACACUGAGGUUUUGAGGCAGAAAAGGGAGAUUUUUUGGAUGUGUUUCCCAAUGCUUUUGGGGUCGGGCAGGGAUGGGUUGUGCAAAGCCGUUAUUCUCUGCAGUUGCCCGAUACCUGGGUGUUUGGGGGGGGGGCAUUUCCCCUCCUCACAUGACCCCGCAGAGAGGGACCAGAGCCAAAACCACCCCCCAUCCCAUCCCCGCGGCAAAGCCGAAGCUCCCAUCUACCUUCACCAGCCGCUCAAACUCAUCAAUAGCAGCCCCCUCCCUGGGAAACUGCUCCUUCAAGCCUUGGAAAUAUUCCUUCUUCCCCGAAUAGAUGCGAUACGUUCUGCCGCCGCCUGGCUCCCCCAAAACCACGGCAUCGUAGACAGCUGGCAGCCGAGCCCACUCCAGCUGCCCCUCCGUCAGCUGGUCCAACAUGAAGCGGACGAUGGAGCCCUCCUCCAUCUGCCCCACAUAGUGGAUACCUGGACAAUGUAUUUUUCGUUUAUUUUAGGGUUUUUUUUCCCUUUUUCACACCCCACCCUGUACCCCUGGGAUGCACAGCACCCUCCUUUUAUUCCUCUGCCCCCUCAGCAGCUCCCUGUGGAGGGGAAAGGGAAAAGAUGGGAAACAUCCACCCCACCACUCCAGGCUGAAGGGAAACCAAGCGCUCGCCGCUGGUUUUUAAGCAGCUUUUGAGAUUUUUUAUUAGCCAUUGAUAUUUUUUUGCCCUCUCUGUUGCUGUAAAUAAUUAAUCCCGUGCAACUCGA